CGGCGGACGGGUGAGUAACGCGUGGGUAACCUGCCUCAUACAGGGGGAUAACAGUUGGAAACGGCUGCUAAUACCGCAUAAGCGCACAGUACCGCAUGAUACGGUGUGAAAAACUCCGGUGGUAUGAGAUGGACCCGCGUCUGAUUAGGUAGUUGGUGGGGUAACGGCCUACCAAGCCGACGAUCAGUAGCCGACCUGAGAGGGUGACCGGCCACAUUGGGACUGAGACACGGCCCAA
rnacentral:rRNA from 1 species